rnacentral:rRNA from 1 species
UACGGGGGGUGCAAGCGUUGUUCGGAAUCAUUGGGCGUAAAGCGAGCGCAGGCGGCCCGUUAAGACAGGUGUGAAAUCCCUGGGCUCAACCUAGGAAUUGCGCUUGUGACUGGCGGGCUCGAGUACGGUAGAGGGGGGUGGAAUUCCUGGUGUAGCAGUGAAAUGCGUAGAGAUCAGGAGGAACACCGAUGGCGAAGGCAGCCCCCUGGGCCUGUACUGACGCUCAUGCACGAAAGCGUGGGGAGCAAACAGG